rnacentral:rRNA from 1 species
GAUCCGGUGCUUGCACCGGGGAUUAGUGGCGAACGGGUGAGUAACACGUGAGUAACCUGCCCUUAACUCUGGGAUAAGCCUGGGAAACUGGGUCUAAUACCGGAUAUGACUCCUCAUCGCAUGGUGGGGGGUGGAAAGCUUUUGUGGUUUUGGAUGGACUCGCGGCCUAUCAGCUUGUUGGUGAGGUAAUGGCUCACCAAGGCGACGACGGGUAGCCGGCCUGAGAGGGUGACCGGCCACACUGGGACUGAGACACGGCCCAGACUCCUACGGGAGGCAGCAGUGGGGAAUAUUGCACAAUGGGCGCAAGCCUGAUGCAGCGACGCCGCGUGAGGGAUGACGGCCUUCGGGUUGUAAACCUCUUUCAGUAGGGAAGAAGCGAAAGUGACGGUACCUGCAGAAGAAGCGCCGGCUAACUACGUGCCAGCAGCCGCGGUAAUACGUAGGGCGCAAGCGUUAUCCGGAAUUAUUGGGCGUAAAGAGCUCGUAGGCGGUUUGUCGCGUCUGCCGUGAAAGUCCGGGGCUCAACUCCGGAUCUGCGGUGGGUACGGGCAGACUAGAGUGAUGUAGGGGAGACUGGAAUUCCUGGUGUAGCGGUGAAAUGCGCAGAUAUCAGGAGGAACACCGAUGGCGAAGGCAGGUCUCUGGGCAUUAACUGACGCUGAGGAGCGAAAGCAUGGGGAGCGAACAGGAUUAGAUACCCUGGUAGUCCAUGCCGUAAACGUUGGGCACUAGGUGUGGGGGACAUUCCACGUUUUCCGCGCCGUAGCUA